CGCUCUGUCUCAUGUGCCAUGUGCCGGCCACCUCCUGUUUAACUCGCGAGGCCUCGCGUGGUGGUGGUGGUGGUGUCGAUAACCCCUUGCCGUAGUUGCCCACGCAGCAUUAUAAUGCACAUCCGGACUUAGCGCCAAGCAAACAAACCAGUGGCGCUGCGACUGAGUCCUCAGUGUGCCAUGUGGUGUACAGACAGCGCUACCAUCUAGUGUGAGCCGUUCGAACCACAGCUUUGAAUUUACCCAGCAACAGCCUUUCAAAAUGGCGACUCUCUCUACGGAGACGUUCUACUCCAAGCCUCCAAAAAUUCGAGAUGAAACUGCAGAGAAAAUACUUCUCUUGAUUGCGAAUGGCAGUGACUCUGAAUGGGAUCUGUCUGACGACGAUGACGCUGCUGCGGAAAGCCAAAACCCAGCUCCGGCAGGAAGCAAGCGAGCUGGUGAAGAUGAUGCAUGAUGUAAAACCCACUGAGUAAAACCCGUUGAGACUUACGCCGCUCUGACGGGUUCUCGGACGAAGACGACGACAGUCCAGUGAUCAGAAAUGCCAAGCAGCGGAAACAACCUGUGUGGAAAGUGCCCUUCAUCUCCCCCUUAGCAGCUGCUCCUGAGCUGUUCAUCUAAUUGUGCUAGAUUUGGAACUGUACCACGGGCAAACUACAUUCCAGGGUGCUGACAACAACAAGCUUGGACUGGGACCAAGUGUUUUUCUUCGUCUCAGUGACACGUUACCUGCAGGCACUGCCCUGUUUUUUUACAGAUAUUUUACUGCCAUCCCGAUGCUAGAAAAUCUUGCAGCCAUAACCUACGGGCGACCGGGACACUGAUAAAAAACAGACUUCCAAAAUUUUCAAAGCUAAUUGACGACAAAGAGCUGCUGAAAAAGGGAAAGGGUUCCUUCUGUCAGUCAGUUAAUGAGGACAGUGAUGUAUGCCUUGUGAAGUGGGCUGACACUAAAACAAUCAGAUUUGCUUGGACUCACGUGGCAAAGACCCCGUAGGUGAGUGCAAGAGGUGGUGCCGCAAGGAGAAGAAUUACAAAAUGGUGCCACAACCAAAAGUUGUGCAGGAGUACAAUGCCAACAUAUGCGGUGUUGACUUGUGUGACUGAAUGAUUAGUUUAAACCCUUCCUCUGCGAGAACGAAAAAGUGGACAGUGCAAACAAUGCUGUUUUCCCUGGACCUUGCUCCUCUAAAUUACUGGAUGCUGUACAGGAAAGACUCUUCCAUUCUUGGGAGAAAAGCAAAGGACACUAUGAAGUUUCUGGACUUCAGAAUCAACCUGACACAAUCCUUGUUGGCAGCAGUGAAGACGGGUGCUGACAACAGUGAUGAUGAGUUGCUAGCUAGGUACUCUGUGCAGAAUGUUGAACCACUUCCAUGUACGGAUGCCCGUAAAGUGUCAGCAAAAGACAUGCCGGAGCUCGUGGACCAAAAGUCCUCAUCUAGGUGCAGGAAUCCAGGUUGCAGUCAAAGUACAAAGUUUCGGUGCAGAGCUUGGAACAUUUUUUUAUGCAUCAUGGUUUUAGAAACUGGUUUCAGAUGUUUCAUUAAUAGUAAACGCAGUAUUUUACUA